GAGAUUUUUUGAUCCAAGAGAGGGAACGUUGGCCAAGUGUUGACACAGCUUUCCCAACAGACCAGGACUGCAGAGCCAACUGAUAUUUGAACACUGGUGCUCAGAGGACUUCCUGUUAUUCUUCGUGACAACCCCACAGACUUCUACAAACCAGCCUUUGACUCUGAUGAUGAUGACUCGUUCCGCAACAUUGAUAUUGGGAUGCUCCUCGUUGAACCUGAAGGUACUGUGCCCUCAUCCUCCUUGCAUCUCAGUCCAGCCUCUCAGAAAAUCAUCAUGGAGGGAGAAGUGGUGAUGGCCAACAUUCAAGACCUGCCAAAAGCUAUGUGCAUUCUCUUUGGACUUGCAUAUGCUAUGCAUUUCAACUACCCCAGUUCUAUGAAGUCCACAUUCCAGUUCAUCCAACAGAUAUUUUUUGAGCUGGGCCAAAGUGAACUAAAACCAAAGUUACAAACAUUGAAAAACCAGCUUGUGAUGUAAAGAA